UACGAAGGGGGCUAGCGUUGCUCGGAAUUACUGGGCGUAAAGCGCACGUAGGCGGAUUAUUAAGUCGGGGGUGAAAUCCUGGAGCUCAACUCCAGAACUGCCUUCGAUACUGGCGAUCUCGAGUUCGGGAGAGGUGAGUGGAACUGCGAGUGUAGAGGUGAAAUUCGUAGAUAUUCGCAAGAACACCAGUGGCGAAGGCGGCUCACUGGCCCGAUACUGACGCUGAGGUGCGAAAGCUAGGGGAGCAAACGGG
rnacentral:rRNA from 1 species